rnacentral:miRNA from 1 species
CAGGCAGAAGUGGGGCUGACAGG